rnacentral:rRNA from 1 species
CAAGCUAUUAAGGGCGUAUGGGGGAUGUCUUGGCAUCAGGAGGCGAUGAUGGGCGUGGAAGUCUGCGAAAUGCCCGGGGGAGUUGACAAACAAACGAUGAUCCCGGGAUGCCCUAGCGAACGCGGUGAACUGAAACAUCUAAGUAACCGCAGGAAGAGAAAGAAAAAUCGAUUUCCUCAGUAGCGGCGAGCGAAAGGGAAAUAGCCCAAACCGUGAAGGUUUCCUUCACGGGGUUGUAGGACCGUUCACAUGGGAAGAUUACUGGGUAGCGGAACCGGUUGGAAAGCCGGGCCAUAGCGGGUGACAGCCCCGUACGCGAAACCUUCGUAAUCGCCCGAGCGGCACCUGAGUAGGUCGGGUCACGUGAAACCCCGACUGAAUCCACGGGGACCAUCCCGUAAGGCUAAAUACUACCUGAUGACCGAUAGUGAACUCAGUAUGGCGACUGAAAGGUGAGAAGAACCCCUGCUAGGGGAGGAAUGUGAACCUGAAACCAUACGCCUACAAGCGGUCGGAGCCCUAUGUCCUUCGGGAAAUGGGUGACGGCGUGCCUUUUGCAUAAUGAUCCGGCGAGUUACCGUCAUCGGCUUGGUUAAGGCCUUACGGGCCGAAGCCUCAGGGAAACCGAGUCUUAAUAGGGCGAAAUUGUCGACGGUGGUAGACGCGAACCCAGGUGAUCUACCCAUGAGCAGGUUGAAGCGCGGGUUGUACCGCGUGGAGGACCGAACCCACUUAGGUUGAAAACUGAGGGGAUGACUUGUGGGGAGGAGUGAAAGUCUAAUCAAACCUGGAGAUAGCUCGUUCUCUCCGAAAUAGCUUUAGGGCUAGCCUCGAGCAACUAUUUAACGGGGGUAGAGAUACUGAUUUGGUUUGGGGCCCUUCGCGGGGUACCCUGCUGAGCCAAACUCCGAAUACCGUUAAAACUAUCUCGGGAGUCAGUCCGCGGGGGAUAAGCUCCGCGGUCGAGAGGGAAACAACCCAGAUUACCUGCUAAGGUCCCCAAGUGAUGCUCAGUCACUAAGGAAGUUGAAUUGCAGUGACAGCCAGGAUGUUGGCUUAGAAGCAGCCAUCAUUUAAAAAGUGCGUAACAGCUUACUGGUCGAGCAGUUCUGCGCCCAUAAUGAACGGGAGUAAGCAUCACACCGAAGCAGUAGAAUCCGCCUCCGGGCGGUUUGGUAGGAGAGCGCUGUUGGUCAGAUACAAGCCGUACCGUAAGGAGCGGUGUCGGGGCCAACAGGUGAUUAUGCCGGAAUGAGUAACGAUAAGGCAGGUGAGAAUCCUGCCCGCCGAAAGCCUAAGGUUUCCUGGGGUAGGUAAUUCCGCCCAGGGUUAGCCGGUGCCUAAGUCGAGGCCGAAAGGCGUAGACGAUGGAUAGCAGGUUAAUAUUCCUGCGCCGGCCGUGUGGACCGAUGGAGGGACGGCGUUUGAAUGGUGAGGGGACGAUUAGAAAUGUCCCUGGCCGCAAGGCUAACCCCGCAUACGUUGGGUAUGUCAUCUGAAGGACGUCCAAGAAAAGCUCCUAAGGGUUGAAGCACGGUUGACCGUACUAAAACUGACACAGGUAGGCGAGACGAGUAGUCUAAGGCGCUCGGGAGAACACUGGUUAAGGAACUCUGCAAAAUGGCCCCGUAAGUUCGCGAUAAGGGGCGCCCACGCAAGUGGGCCACAGUAAAUCGAUUCCUCCGACUGUUUAUCAAAAACACAGGUCUCUGCUAACACGUAAGUGGAUGUAUAGAGACUGACGCCUGCCCGGUGCUGGUAGGUUAAGGUAAGAGGUUAGUUUCAUUACGAAGCUUCUGACCGAAGCCCCAGUAAACGGCGGCCGUAACUAUGACGGUCCUAAGGUAGCGAAAUUCCUUGUCGGGUAAGUUCCGACCUGCAUGAAAGGCGUAACGAGAGGAAUACUGUCUCAACCAGUGACCCGGUGAAAUUGUAGUCGUGGUGAAGAUGCCACGUUCCCGCAGCUAGACGGAAAGACCCCGUGAACCUUUACUGUAGGCUGAUAUUGGGCUGUGGUAUGUACUGUGUAGGAUAGGUGGGAGGCUUCGAACUCCGGGCGCCAGCUCGGAGGGAGCCGUUGGUGAAAUACCACCCUUUGCAUGCUUUAGUUCUAACGCUGAUUCCCGUGAAUCCGGGCAGCGGACAGUGUCAGUUGGGCAGUUUGACUGGGGCGGUCUCCUCCUAAAGAGUAACGGAGGAGCCCAAUAGGUACCCUCAGCCUGGUUGGCAAUCAGGCAUCGAGCGUAAAGGUAGAAGGGUGCUAAACUGCGAGACUCGUCAGUCGAGCAGGUACGAAAGUAGGGCUUAGUGAUCCGGUGGUCCCGAAUGGAAGGGCCAUCGCUCAACAGAUAAAAGGUACUCCGGGGAUAACAGGCUUAUCGCUCCCGAGCGUCCAUAGCGGCGGAGCGGUUUGGCACCUCGAUGUCGGCUCAUCACAUCCUGGGGGUGAAGAAGCUCCCAAGGGUUUGGCUGUUCGCCAAUGAAAGUGGUACGUGAGCUGGGUUCAGACCGUCGUGAGACAGGUCGGUCCCUAUCUACUGUGGGCGCACGAAACUUGCGAGGGUUCUUCUUUAGUACGAGAGGAUUUAGAAGGACGACCCUCUGGUGUUCCUGUUGUCGCGCUAGCGGCACGGCAGGAUAGCUAAGGUCGGAACGGAUAAACGCUGAAAGCAUCUAAGCGUGAAGCCCGCCUCAAGAUUAGGUUUCGUUGGUCAAUGACCGAAAGUCCCCUGGAAGACGACCAGGUUGAUAGGCCGGAUGUGUAAGCUCAGCAAUGGGUUCAGCUAACCGGUACUAACGGACGAACGC